rnacentral:rRNA from 1 species
CCUACGGGAUGCAGCAGUGAGGAAUAUUGGUCAAUGGACGCAAGUCUGAACCAGCCAUGCCGCGUGCAGGAAGACGGCUCUAUGAGUUGUAAACUGCUUUUGUACGAGGGUAAAUCCCGAUACGUGUAUCGGGUUGAAAGUAUCUUACGAAUAAGGAUCGGCUAACUCCGUGCCAGCAGCCGCGGUAAUAAGGAGGAUUCAAUCUUUAUCCGGAUUUAUUGGGUUUAAAGGGUGCGUAGGCGGUUCGAUAAGUUAGAGGUGAAAGCCCGGGGCUCAACUCCGGCACUGCCUCUGAUACUGUCGGGCUAGAGUUUAGUUGCGGUAGGCGGAAUGUAUGGUGUAGCGGUGAAAUGCAUAGAGAUCAUACAGAACAACGAUUGCGAAGGCAGCUUACCAAACUACGACUGACGUUGAGGCACGAAAGCGUGGGGAGCAAACAGGAUUAGAUACCCCUGUAGUC